rnacentral:tRNA from 1 species
UGUCCCUUCGUCUAGAGCCUAGGACAUCGCCUUUCACGCGGUAACAGGGGUUCGAAUCCCUAGGGGACGCC